GAGCUUCAAACCCAACUACACCCCUAACUCUAUAGCCCCUCAACCACACUGGCCCCUGUAUAGUUGAUUUUAGGUUGGGGCGACCACGGAGUAAAACAAAACCUCCAUAAUGAACGGGCCUACCCCCUUAUCUAAGAACCACACCCCCUAAGAAUUAGAAUACUAACAUAAAAUGAUCCAUUAUUUGAUUAAUGAACCAAGUUACCCUAGGGAUAACAGCGCAAUCCAUUUCGAGAGCCCAUAUCGACAAAU
rnacentral:rRNA from 1 species